CCCUUAGAUGUUCUGGGCCGCACGCGCGCUACAAUGAUGCAGGCAACGAGUGCCGCUCCUUAGCCGAAAGGCUUGGGGAAUCUUGAAAACUGCAUCGUGCUAGGGAUAGAUGAUUGCAAUCGUGCAUCUUGAACGAGGAAUGCCUUGUAAGCGUGAGUCAUCAACUCGCGCUGAAUACGUCCCUGCCCUUUGUACACACCGCCCGUCGCUCCUACCGAUUGGAUGGUCCGGUGAACUGGUCGGACUGCUGUUUGAAAUUGCGGGUGCAGUUGAUUCACGGGAAGUCUAGUAAGCCUUAUCAUCUAGAGGAAGGAGAAGUCGUAACA
rnacentral:rRNA from 1 species